ACUCAAAAACUAAAAUGACCAAAAUAGCAUUUUAUCUUUUGAAUUUUUUUUUUUUUUUUUCAAAAUUUGAAAUCUUAUCCCAAAACCCAAAACCCUAAACCCUAAACCCUAAACCCUAAACUCUAAACCCUAAACUCUAAACUCUAAACCCUAAACCUAAACCCUAAACUCUAAACCCUAAACUCUAAACCCUAAACCCUAAAUCCUAAAUC
rnacentral:lncRNA from 1 species